rnacentral:rRNA from 1 species
UAGCGGGAGGCUUAACACAUGCAAGUCGAGCGGCAAUCCCGAGCAAUCGGGACUAGAGCGGCGCACGGGUGAGUAACGCGUAUGCAACCUGCCUUUUACAGGGGGAUAGCCCGGAGAAAUCCGGAUUAAUACCCCAUGGAACUAUAAAGCCGCAUGGUUUAAUAGUUAAAGAUUUAUCGGUAAGAGAUGGGCAUGCGUGACAUUAGCUAGUUGGCGGGGUAACGGCCCACCAAGGCUACGAUGUCUAGGGGUUCUGAGAGGAUGAUCCCCCACACUGGUACUGAGACACGGACCAGACUCCUACGGGAGGCAGCAGUGAGGAAUAUUGGUCAAUGGGCGCAAGCCUGAACCAUUUUAUCCCGCGUGAAGGAUGAAUGUACUAUGUAUUGUAAACUUCUUUUCUGCAAAGAGAAAGGGCACUACGUGUAGUGUUUUGACGGUAUUGCAGGAAUAAGCAUCGGCUAACUCCGUGCCAGCAGCCGCGGUAAUACGGAGGAUGCGAGCGUUAUCCGGAUUCAUUGGGUUUAAAGGGUGCGUAGGCGGUUUUUUAAGUCAG